AGUAAAUAAAAACUAGCCUGAAUAAAUAGACUUGCUAUUUAUAUUUACAAUUAUAUUUAAUCCAUUUUUGAUUCUGAUCUAAGUCCUAGAAUACUAAGACUUAUAAUGAACAGAAAACGUCCAAAUGUUCUAAACUGCAGUAAAACUGCUUAAAAUCUCAUGAAAUACAUGAUAGAAAUAUGCUAAACUUCAGCGAAUAUUGAAUAUUCGACAGUAUCAACUGACCGAAAAUCUGGCAACAUAUCUGUAGGUCUGAGUAAGAAGGAAGAGCCCCUGACAAACAGGUGCAAGCUUUAUAUACCCGACGGAGCUAUCGGUGUAACGAACGAUUCAUAACGGGGGAACGAACGGGCAAUGGGGAACGGG
rnacentral:lncRNA from 1 species